rnacentral:rRNA from 1 species
UAAGGAAUAUUGGUCAAUGGACGCAAGUCUGAACCAGCCAUGCCGCGUGAAGGAUGAAGGUCCUCUGGAUUGUAAACUUCUUUUAUCUGGGACGAAAACGGGAUUUUUAUCUCAAUUGACGGUACCAGAGGAAUAAGCACCGGCUAACUCCGUGCCAGCAGCCGCGGUAAUACGGAGGGUGCGAGCGUUAUCCGGAUUUACUGGGUUUAAAGGGUGCGUAGGUGGGCUUAUAAGUCAGUGGUGAAAUCUCCGAGCUUAACUUGGAAACUGCCGUUGAUACUAUAGGUCUUGAAUUAUCUGGAGGUGAGCGAAAUAUGUCAUGUUGCGGUGAAAUGCUUAGAUAUGACAUAGAACACCAAUUGCGAAGGCAGCUUACUACAUAUAAAUUGACGCUGAGGCACGAAAGCGUGGGGAUCAAACA